UCGAGCGAGCGGAACUAAAGAUUUACUUCGGUAAUGACGUUAGGAAAGCGAGCGGCGGAUGGGUGAGUAACACGUGGGGAACCUGCCCCAUAGUCUGGGAUACCACUUGGAAACAGGUGCUAAUACCGGAUAAGAAAGCAGAUCGCAUGAUCAGCUUUUAAAAGGCGGCGUAAGCUGUCGCUAUGGGAUGGCCCCGCGGUGCAUUAGCUAGUUGGUAAGGUAAAGGCUUACCAAGGCGAUGAUGCAUAGCCGAGUUGAGAGACUGAUCGGCCACAUUGGGACUGAGACACGGCCCAAACUCCUACGGGAGGCAGCAGUAGGGAAUCUUCCACAAUGGACGCAAGUCUGAUGGAGCAACGCCGCGUGAGUGAAGAAGGUUUUCGGAUCGUAAAGCUCUGUUGUUGGUGAAGAAGGAUAGAGGUAGUAACUGGCCUUUAUUUGACGGUAAUCAACCAGAAAGUCACGGCUAACUACGUGCCAGCAGCCGCGGUAAUACGUAGGUGGCAAGCGUUGUCCGGAUUUAUUGGGCGUAAAGCGAGCGCAGGCGGAAGAAUAAGUCUGAUGUGAAAGCCCUCGGCUUAACCGAGGAACUGCAUCGGAAACUGUUUUUCUUGAGUGCGGAAGAGGAGAGUGGAACUCCAUGUGUAGCGGUGGAAUGCAUAGAUAUAUGGAAGAACACCAGUGGCGAAGGCGGCUCUCUGGUCUGCAACUGACGCUGAGGCUCGAAAGCAUGGGUAGUGAACAGGAUCAGAUACCCUGGUAGUCCAUGCCGUANACGAUGAGUGCUAAGUGUUGGGAGGUUUCCGCCUCUCAGUGCUGCAGCUAACGCAUU
rnacentral:rRNA from 1 species